rnacentral:misc_RNA from 1 species
UGUGGGAGCGGGCUUGCUCGCGAUAGCGCAGGGUCAGUCAAGAUCAACGUUGCUGAUCCACCGCCAACGCGAGCAAGCUCGCUCCCACA